AUGAAUUGAAAAAAACAAAAAAACUAAACAAGAUAAAUUGUCAACUGAAAAAAUGAUUAGCAGUAGAAAAUAAAUAUAAAAUCUAUUCUAUUCUUGUCUUCAAUGUUUGAAUGUGGAUGAUUAAAGAUACAUAUAGACCUAGGUGAGCGACACGUGCUCUUUAUUAGAGUUUCUAUCUAAUGAUUUGAGGAUUUUUCUCUAACGAUGCCUCCCUUGAUGGAAUGCAGCGAACUUCUGAUAAUGUAGAUUUGAAGAUAUUAUCAAAUGUACUUGUGCAUGGAUAGCAAUUAUCUAAAUAAUGCUACCCCUCUUCAAAAUCGCAGAGCUUAAUCAAGUUUUAGAGAGAAACGUACUGUUAAGAUAUAUAUUUUUCUGUUGAAUUAUUGCUUAUGGUGUACGUGUAUACUAUCUAUUUGUAGUAAAUAAGAUUGUAGUCUUGAGUUGAGUAUUGUUACUUGAAUUGAUUGUAGGAUGGAAUUUUGAUUUUAUUUUAUUUGCACAUAAAUACAUUGUAGUUUGCAAAUCACUGUGUAAUGGACAAUGAUAUAUUGUAUUUGGCAAUAACGUUUGUCUGAUUGCUAUUCUUCUUUCAUUUUGUUAAAAAAGACCCAUCUCAAUCGAUUUUUUUGGUUAGAUUUGAUAUGAUAACUUUAACAAAAUUACAAUAAUUCAGAUGUUUUUGGUAAAUGUCGGGUCAAUAUCAAUAUGAAAAAAUAGGUGUAAUCAAUGGAUUUACUGCUAAUACAGCCAUAAUCUGAUAUUAAUUGUCAUGGUCGUAGCAGAUAUGCAGAUAUAAUCAUAUAGCAUAACUAGAUGUGUAUGUCUGUAGACCAUAGACAUGUGAUGGACUAAGAAAAGAAUCCUGGGUAUUUAACUACAGUGAAAAGCUGAUGAUCAUAACUCAAGGUAUCAAUAUAUUAUGAUGAAAACUCAUAAUGGGUACCAUGUCCUCGUGAUUUUUCAAAUAUAGUAAAGAUACAAACAAUAUCAUGACCAGAAAAUCAAUAAAGAAAAUCAAAAUAAAAUCAAAAAAGAUUUAA
rnacentral:lncRNA from 1 species